rnacentral:rRNA from 1 species
CCCUAACCUACCUUACCUAACGAACGUAACUACCGGCGAAAGUCGGACUAAUACCGUAUGAUAUCCUAUGCAGGCAUCUAAUAGGAUUAAAGGUUUAGCGGUAAGGGAUGGGGAUGCGUCUGAUUAGGCAGUUGGCGGGGUAACGGCCCACCAAACCGACGAUCAGUAGGGGUUCUGAGAGGAAGGUCCCCCCACAUUGGAACUGAGACACGGUCCAAACUCCUACGGGAGGCAGCAGC